CUAUAACCCAAUAUGAGUUGUUUGCCACCGGUCAGUGCGCAUGAGUGAAAACUCCCAAUCGUAAUCAGUAAUAAUCAACUUGUCUAUAUGUUUGUCUUCAUCCAUACUAGAGCGCAUUCUCGUGAUAUACUUCGGAAGUUAUAAGUUCCAAGAUGUUCGUCUACGUUAUAAUUUCAUCCUGCAUCGUGGCUAUUGUGGCUGCUAAUUGUAGUAUCAAUCCGUGCCUAAACGGAGGCACAUGCAAUGCCUUACAUAAAAACGACACUGCACAAUUUUACUGCCGCUGUCCAUCCGGGUGGAAGGGGCGCUUUUGCCAGGCCCGUGCGACACCAAUGCUUUCGUCUAGACCUGCGAGAAUUGAAUAACUGAAUCAUGUGAACAGCAUUUUUUGACAAACAUGCUCCUCACUCUGCUUAAUUGUGGUCAACGAAAAGAGGAAAUAAUUUCCAAAUAGUCAAAAUAUGCAGGGAUGUCAGUAUGUUUAUAAGAAGGAAGAUUAAGUAGAAGAGGGAAAUAAAAUAAAGACUUAAUUUUACUUCAAGCUUGUAUUUAUGAUUUCAAUGUCAACAUUAUAUUAUAUCAUUGUAAAUCCAACACAUGAAUUUGACUGUGGAAUGUUACAAAAUUAAUCAACAAUGUUUAUAUGGUACAUUAAAUCAAUAAUUGUUUACUUCAGUGAAAUUUAUAAUGAGCAAGAUAAUAGCGAUACAGACACGUAGACUCGUAAUUGUGUUUUUGUGUGGAAUGAACGAAUCUGCAUAGACUGAUUGGGAUUUCUAAACGGAGAACAUAUCUUUUGUACAUGAAGGAGUUUUUGUCUGUUCAUCAGAAAAAUAUUUACUAUUUAAUACAACUUUUCUUUCCUUUAUUUUCUGGUGCUACUUCUUCUGAACUUGUAUUAUAGUUUUCAUUAAUCAACGUUUUAUAUCUUUUAAAAAGAAACAAGAACGUAAAUACUCAGUUUCAGCUUAAACAAUAAAUAUAUUGAAGAACGCUAUACGGCGUUAAUUUCAAAUAUGAUAGUUGAAAAUAAAAAUUCUAUAUUCACCGGUGAUUGCAUAGAGUUUAAUUAAAAAACUUAAUAAACGUGCAUCACUUGUUUAUCCCUUAUCCGUCGUAAAUCAAUUAUUGUAUCAACUUAAAAAGUUUAUUGCAUGAACAGUUUAUAAAGUUUCUACCAUUUAACAUGGUACAUCUCGCGAUGUUUAUCACAUAAAACAUAUAUGUAACGCACGAUUGUAAUUUAAAAUUGAACGUCAUACAUGUGUGGUUAGAUCAUUAAACGAGUUUCCCCUUAUAACGACACCUUUAGUAUUUUGGUAGUUUUGGUUUUUUCUAACAAUAAAAAUUAGUAGCAUUUACCAAUAGGGUUUCAUUCAUUUUUUUCUCAAUCAUUCAUGUUAUUGUAUAUCUUGAAAGCAAUACUGUGGUAUCAUCAUAAGGCCCUUAACGGUAGUCCAUUGUGUAUUCCCCUGACGAUUAACUGACAGAUUACUGACCCUGAAAUUCUGCAAGGUGAAAUUUAAUGUGUAAUGGUAACUGAGCCUAAUUCUGUGUCUAUGAGUCUUUUCGAAGUUUCUGAGAAUAGUUUGGAUAUCUAAACACUGAAGAGUGUUUAAUACUAUUUGAUGGACUAAAAGACGUAGUGAUGUGGCCAUUGUUCUGGGGGAUUUCUCUCAAAUCGGCCAAAAAUAUUCGGAUGUAUUCAUUCGCGUCUACUGGAAAUUUUCUCAGCACUUCAUAGCUAUCAAUAUAGGUCAUUUAAGGUGAUUAAAGCUGGAUUAAACAGCUAUGUCGAAACAAGUAUUAAUAGUAAAUUGGAUGUUGAACCUCAUUUUUAUCAUCUCAGGUCUAAUUAAAAAGCCUGCA